rnacentral:rRNA from 1 species
UACGUAGGGUGCAAGCGUUGUCCGGAAUUAUUGGGCGUAAAGAGCUCGUAGGCGGUCUGUUGCGUCGGCUGUGAAAUCCCGAGGCUCAACCUCGGGUCUGCAGUCGAUACGAGCAAACUAGAGUGUUGCAGGGGAGACUGGAAUUCCUGGUGUAGCGGUGAAAUGCGCAGAUAUCAGGAGGAACACCGGUGGCGAAGGCGGGUCUCUGGGCAGUAACUGACGCUGAGGAGCGAAAGCGUGGGGAGCGAACAGG